rnacentral:rRNA from 1 species
UACGGGAGGCAGCAGUGGGGAAUAUUGCACAAUGGGGGGAACCCUGAUGCAGCGACGCCGCGUGAGCGAAGAAGGUUUUCGAAUCGUAAAGCUCUGUCCUAUGAGAAGAUAAUGACGGUAUCAUAGGAGGAAGCCCCGGCUAAAUACGUGCCAGCAGCCGCGGUAAU